rnacentral:rRNA from 1 species
GACGAACGCUGGCGGCGUGCCUAAUACAUGCAAGUCGAACGCAGUGGGGACGGGUGAGUAACCCGUGGGUAACCUCCCAUCAGAGGGGAUAACACUUGGCAACAGGUGCUAAACCGAUACUGAUGGCUGAACCCGCGGUGCAUUAGCUAUUUGGUGAGGUAACGGAUCACCAAGGCCCCGAUGCAUAGCCGACCGGAGAGGGUGAGCGGCCACAAGGGGACUGAGACACGGCCCAGAAUCCGACGGGAGGCAGCAGUAGGGAAGAUUCGGCAAUGGACGAAAGUCUGACCGAGCAACGCCGCGUGAGUGAAGAAGGUUUUCGGAUCGUAAAACUCUGUUGUUAGAGAAGCGGUAUCUAACCAGAAAGCCACGGCGAACUACGUGCCAGCAGCCGCGGUAAUUC